rnacentral:rRNA from 1 species
AGAGUUUGAUCCUGGCUCAGGACGAACGCUGGCGGCGUGCCUAAUACAUGCAAGUAGAACGCUGAAGACUUUAGCUUGCUAAAGUUGGAAGAGUUGCGAACGGGUGAGUAACGCGUAGGUAACCUGCCUACUAGCGGGGGAUAACUAUUGGAAACGAUAGCUAAUACCGCAUAACAGCAUUUAACCCAUGUUAGAUGCUUGAAAGGAGCAAUUGCUUCACUAGUAGAUGGACCUGCGUUGUAUUAGCUAGUUGGUGAGGUAACGGCUCACCAAGGCGACGAUACAUAGCCGACCUGAGAGGGUGAUCGGCCACACUGGGACUGAGACACGGCCCAGACUCCUACGGGAGGCAGCAGUAGGGAAUCUUCGGCAAUGGGGGCAACCCUGACCGAGCAACGCCGCGUGAGUGAAGAAGGUUUUCGGAUCGUAAAGCUCUGUUGUAAGAGAAGAACGUGUGUGAGAGUGGAAAGUUCACACAGUGACGGUAACUUACCAGAAAGGGACGGCUAACUACGUGCCAGCAGCCGCGGUAAUACGUAGGUCCCGAGCGUUGUCCGGAUUUAUUGGGCGUAAAGCGAGCGCAGGCGGUUUAAUAAGUCUGAAGUUAAAGGCAUUGGCUCAACCAAUGUACGCUUUGGAAACUGUUAAACUUGAGUGCAGAAGGGGAGAGUGGAAUUCCAUGUGUAGCGGUGAAAUGCGUAGAUAUAUGGAGGAACACCGGUGGCGAAAGCGGCUCUCUGGUCUGUAACUGACACUGAGGCUCGAAAGCGUGGGUAGCGAACAGGAUUAGAUACCCUGGUAGUCCACGCCGUAAACGAUGAGUGCUAGGUGUUGGGUCCUUUCCGGGACUCAGUGCCGCAGCUAACGCAUUAAGCACUCCGCCUGGGGAGUACGACCGCAAGGUUGAAACUCAAAGGAAUUGACGG